rnacentral:rRNA from 1 species
AUACGGAGGGGGUUAGCGUUGUUCGGAAUUACUGGGCGUAAAGCGCACGUAGGCGGACUGGAAAGUUGGGGGUGAAAUCCCGGGGCUCAACCCCGGAACUGCCUCCAAAACUUCCAAUCUAGAGAUCGAGAGAGGUAAGUGGAAUUCCUAGUGUAGAGAUGAAAUUCGUAGAUAUUAGGAGGAACACCAGUGGCGAAGGCGGCUUACUGGCUCGAUACUGACGCUGAGGUGCGAAAGCGUGGGGAGCAAACAGGAUUAGAAACCCUAGUAGUCC